AUUGAACGCUGGCGGCAGGCCUAACACAUGCAAGUCGAACGAGUGGCGGACGGGUGAGUAAUGUCUGGGAAACUGCCUGAUGGAGGGGGAUAACUACUGGAAACGGUAGCUAAUACCGCAUACCAUCAGAUUUGCCCAGAUGGGAUUAGCUUGUUGGUGGGGUAACGGUUCACCAAGGUGACGACCCCGAGCUGGUCUGAGAGGAUGACCAGCCACAUGGGAACUGAGACACGGUCCAGACUCCUACGGGAGGCAGCAGUGGGGAAUAUUGCACAAGGGGGGAAAGCCUGAUGCAGCCAUGCCGCGGGUAUGAAGAAGGCCUUCGGGUUGUAAAGUACGUUCAGCGGGGAGGCGUUACCCGCAGAAGAAGCACCGGCUAACUCCGUGCCAGCAGCCGCGGUAAUAC
rnacentral:rRNA from 1 species